rnacentral:rRNA from 1 species
UGGGGAAUAUUGCACAAUGGGGGAAACCCUGAUGCAGCGACGCCGCGUGAACGAAGAAGGUAUUCGUAUCGUAAAGUUCUGUCCUAUGGGAAGAUAAUGACAGUACCAUAGAAGAAAGCUCCGGCUAAAUACGUGCCAGCAGCCGCGGUAAUACGUAUGGAGCGAGCGUUGUCCGGAAUUAUUGGGCGUAAAGGGUACGCAGGCGGUUUAAUAAGUCGAAUGUUAAAGAUCGGGGCUCAACCCCGCAAAGCAUUGGAAACUGAUAAACUUGAGUAGUGGAGAGGAAAGUGGAAUUCCUAGUGUAGUGGUGAAAUACGUAGAUAUUAGGAGGAAUACCAGUAGCGAAGGCGACUUUCUGGAUACAAACUGACGCUGAGGUACGAAAGCGUGGGGAGCAAACAGG